UGGGGAAUUUUGGACAAUGGGCGAAAGCCUGAUCCAGCAAUGCCGCGUGUGUGAAGAAGGCCUUCGGGUUGUAAAGCACUUUUGUCCGGAAAGAAAUCCUUGGCUCUAAUACAGUCGGGGGAUGACGGUACCGGAAGAAUAAGCACCGGCUAACUACGUGCCAGCAGCCGCGGUAAUACGUAGGGUGCAAGCGUUAAUCGGAAUUACUGGGCGUAAAGCGUGCGCAGGCGGUUUGCUAAGACCGAUGUGAAAUCCCCGGGCUCAACCUGGGAACUGCAUUGGUGACUGGCAGGCUAGAGUAUGGCAGAGGGGGGUAGAAUUCCACGUGUAGCAGUGAAAUGCGUAGAGAUGUGGAGGAAUACCGAUGGCGAAGGCAGCCCCCUGGGCCAAUACUGGCGCUCAUGCACGAAAGCGUGGGGAGCAAACAGGAUUAGAUACCCUGGUAGUCCACGCCCUAAAACGAUGUCAACUAGUUGUUGGGGAUUCAUUUCCUUAGUAACGUAGCUAACGCGUGAAGUUGACCGCCUGGGGAGUACGGUCGCAAGAUUAAAACUUAAAUGAAUUGACGGGGUCAUAGCUGUUUCCU
rnacentral:rRNA from 1 species